AUUGAACGCUGGCGGAAUGCUUUACACAUGCAAGUCGAACGGCAGCACGGGUGCUUGCACCUGGUGGCGCGUGGCGAACGGGUGAGUAACAUAUCGGAACGUAUCCAAUAAUGGGGGAUAACUAAUAGAAAGGUUGGCUAAUACCGCAUACGCCCUACGGGGGAAAGCUAGCGACCUUCGGGCCUGGCGUUAAUGGAGCGGCAGAUAUCUGAUUAGCUAGUUGGUGGGGUAAUGGCCUACCAAGGCGACGAUCAGUAGCUGGUCUGAGAGGACGACCAGCCACACUGGAACUGAGACACGGUCCAGACUCCUACGGGGGGCAGCAGUGGGGAAUUUUGGACAAUGGGCGCAAGCCUGAUCCAGCCAUUCCGCGUGAGUGAAGAAGGCCUUCGGGUUGUAAAGCUCUUUCGCAAGGGAAGAAAACUUAUCCUCUAACAUAGGAUGAGGUUGACGGUACCUUGAUAAGAAGCACCGGCUAACUACGUGCCAGCCGCCACCGUAAAAC
rnacentral:rRNA from 1 species